GUCGAAAUCAAUUCCGUUUGUUUCCCGUGAAAGUAGACUCACGCAUCUACGUUUCUACACCUUUCGUUUGUCAAACGACUCUUCGACUACUCGCGCUCCGGAGUCGAACCAGGGUUAGCUGUUUGCCAAGAUCACGUGGAUAAGCAAGCAGUUUAUGAUUUGAAAGCUGGUCCACUCCGAUUCUUUUGAUUCCUCGGAGGUUUUCAUGUUAUUAAACUAGUUUCUGUUUUCGAACUCUUAGACCGCAGUAGAACUAGUUAUUUAUUUCAUUUGAUAUUUCACUUUGGAUUUGUCGAUAUAUUCGAUUAUUUAUAUUUGGCAUAAUUACUCUGGAUUACGAUAUUAUUAUAUUUAAGGCAUGCUGUGGAAUAUUCAAGAUA